UUGAUUGGUGUUUUUUGAGGGAUUGAAUCUGUGAUUACUGAACUGUACAUGGGAAGCAGAGUCUCUGCUGUCGUCGUUCCUGAUGAUGGAAAUCGAUAUCCCAUCUGGGUGUUGUAGAUAUUUGAAUUUGCUUCAACAUGAUUCAUUAUUUCCCUGUUGCCUAAGAGUUGAGAAGGGAAGAGAUUGAGAUGACGGGCUUCUACAGCCAUGGCUGAAUGAAAAUGAAAAUGAAGAAGAUACCUUGGAUUUGCUUUCUCCUCGCUCUUUCUUUAAUCUUUAAAGGCAGUGUCCUAGUAUGCCUUCCGUUUCGCUUUCUUGGAUUAGUAGUUAGUUUUGGAGUGCUUUGUUUUUUAGAGAAAAACAACGAGAGGGUGGGGAAAUGAACCAAAGGGCAUGCAAUAGCUGUAUCUGUAUGGUGGGGUUUAUUUAGGAUUUGGUUUGGUCUAGAGAGAGAAAGCGAGGCAUGGAGAGAAUCAAAUCCAAACACAUAUAAUAUUUCUAGAGAGCCUUGAGAGAGAGAGAGAGAGAGAGAGAGAUUU
rnacentral:misc_RNA from 1 species